rfam:Streptococcus sp. TA 26, complete genome.
UGAGUGUUAUGAUGAUGGAUUUAUAAGAAAGAUAAAUCUUAGUCUAGCUCUGGUCUACCGCUGGGUUUUCCCUGGCGGU